CAGUCGCCGCGGUAAUACGUAGGUGGCAAGCGUUGUCCGGAAUUAUUGGGCGUAAAGGGCUCGCAGGCGGUUUCUUAAGUCUGAUGUGAAAGCCCCCGGCUCAACCGGGGAGGGUCUUUGGAAACUGGGAAACUUGAGUGCAGAAGAGGAGAGUGGAAUUCCACGUGUAGCGGUGAAAUGCGUAGAGAUGUGGGGGAACACCAGUGGCGAAGGCGACUCUCUGGUCUGUAACUGACGCUGAGGAGCGAAAGCGUGGGGAGCGAACAGGAUUAGAUACCCGUGUAGUCCCUGUCUCUUAUAC
rnacentral:rRNA from 1 species